rnacentral:rRNA from 1 species
AGAGUUUGAUCCUGGCUCAGAUUGAACGCUGGCGGCAUGCCUUACACAUGCAAGUCGAACGGCAGCGGACCUUCGGGUGCCGGCGAGUGGCGAACGGGUGAGUAAUGUAUCGGAACGUACCUUUCAGUGGGGGAUAACGUAGCGAAAGUUACGCUAAUACCGCAUAUUCUGUGAGCAGGAAAGCAGGGGAUCGCAAGACCUUGCGCUGAUUGAGCGGCCGAUAUCAGAUUAGCUAGUUGGUGAGGUAAAGGCUCACCAAGGCGACGAUCUGUAGCGGGUCUGAGAGGAUGAUCCGCCACACUGGAACUGAGACACGGUCCAGACUCCUACGGGAGGCAGCAGUGGGGAAUUUUGGACAAUGGGGGCAACCCUGAUCCAGCCAUGCCGCGUGAGUGAAGAAGGCCUUCGGGUUGUAAAGCUCUUUCGGCCGGGAAGAAAUCGCAUGGGUUAAUACCCUGUGCGGAUGACGUACCGGCAUAA